AAUCAACGCUGGCGGCAUGCCUAACACAUGCAAGUCGAACGGGAAAGUGGGAGCAAUCCCAUGAGUAUAGUGGCGCACGGGUGAGUAACACGUGACUAACCUACCCUCGAGCGGGGAAUAACCCCGGGAAACCGGGGCUAACACCGCAUAAUACCGCAAGGUCAAAUGCGCAAGCAGCUUGAGGAGGGGGUCGCGGUUGAUUAGCUAGUUGGUAGGGUAAUGGCCUACCAAGGCAGUGAUCAAUAGCCGGCCUGAGAGGGCGCACGGCCACACUGGAACUGAAACACGGUCCAGACUCCUACGGGAGGCAGCAGUGGGGAAUUUUGCGCAAUGGGGGAAACCCUGACGCAGCAAUGCCGCGUGGAGGAUGAAGUCCUUUGGGAUGUAAACUCCUUUCGAUCGGGAAGAUAAUGACGGUACCGGAAGAAGAAGCCCCGGCUAACUCUGUGCCAGCCGCCGCCGUAAG
rnacentral:rRNA from 1 species